CCUACGGGUGGCAGCAGUGGGGAAUAUUGCACAAUGGGGGAAACCCUGAUGCAGCAAUGCCGCGUGGGUGAAGGAGCGUUUCGGCGCGUAAAGCCCUGUCAGCGGGGACGAGUAGAAGACGGUACCUCUUGAAUCAGCCACGGCUAACUACGUGCCAGCAGCCGCGGUAAUACGUAGGUGGCAAGCGUUGUCCGGAGUGACUGGGUGUAAAGGGCGUGUAGCCGGGCAGGCAAGUCAGAUGGGAAAUCCCAAGGCUCAACCUUGGAACUGCAUUUGAAACUGUUGGUCUUGAGUAUCGGAGAGGCAGGCGGAAUUCCUAGGGUAGCGGUGAAAUGCGUAGAUAUUAGGAGGAACACCAGUGGCGAAGGCGGCCUGCUGGACGACAACUGACGGUGAGGCGCGAAAGCGUGGGGAGCAAGCAGGAUUAGAUACCCUAGUAGUC
rnacentral:rRNA from 1 species